CGACGAUGUCUGGAGCUUCUAACUGGAAUUCACACCUGGCUUUCACAAGUCCCUUCAGCCCUAAGAGCAAACCAAAACUCUGGAGUCAAAGAAGGGGAUACUGGGAAAUCCUACAGGCUUCCACUUCUAGCAUCAUGAUCUCCUUGGCAGUGUUGGAAGAGGCGGGGCUGAGGCACCUACACUGGUAAGAACUUGGAAGUGAAUAUUAAACUACUAUAACCACAUUUUGGUGCUGAUACUGCAUUUUCCUGCUUUAUGGUCUAUGCUGAGCUGUUUGAUUGAACAACAGUCUGCUGUUUAAUCAAGGACCAUGUGUUAUUCUCUAUAAGUGUACUGCAUUAUAAAAGGGAAUAUAAAAUUAAUUUCAGGAUAUAUAUGUUUAAUUAUGCAGCCUUGUGUUAUGUAUC
rnacentral:lncRNA from 1 species